UACGUAGGGGGCAAGCGUUGUCCGGAAUCAUUGGGCGUAAAGAGCGCGUAGGCGGCCCUGUAAGUCCGCUGUGAAAGUCAAGGGCUCAACCCUUGAAUGCCGGUGGAUACUGCAGGGCUAGAGUCCGGAAGAGGCGAGUGGAAUUCCUGGUGUAGCGGUGAAAUGCGCAGAUAUCAGGAGGAACACCGAUGGCGAAGGCAGCUCGCUGGGACGGUACUGACGCUGAGGCGCGAAAGCUAGGGGAGCAAGCGGG
rnacentral:rRNA from 1 species